UCAGUCGACUCCUACGGGGAGGCAGCAGUGGGGGAAUAUUGCACAAUGGGCGCAAGCCUGAUGCAGCCAUGCCGCGUGUAUGAAGAAGGCCUUCGGGUUGUAAAGUACUUUCAGCAGUGAGGAAGGUGGAGUCGUUAAUAGCGGCCUCAUUUGACGUUAGCUGCAGAAGAAGCACCGGCUAACUCCGUGCCAGCAGCCGCGGUAAUACGGAGGGUGCGAGCGUUAAUCGGAAUUACUGGGCGUAAAGCGCAUGCAGGUGGUUUGUUAAGUCAGAUGUGAAAGCCCGGGGCUCAACCUCGGAAUUGCAUUUGAAACUGGCAGACUAGAGUACUGUAGAGGGGGGUAGGAAUUUCAGGUGUAGCGGUGAAAUGCGUAGAGAUCUGAAGGAAUACCGGUGGCGAAGGCGGCCCCCUGGACAGAUACUGACACUCAGAUGCGAAAGCGUGGGGAGCAAACAGGAUUAGAUACCCUGGUAG
rnacentral:rRNA from 1 species